CUGGGAGGACCAUCUCCUAAGGCUAAAUACUCUCUAGUGACCGAUAGUGAACCAGUACCGUGAGGGAAAGGUGAAAAGCACCCCGGAAGGGGAGUGAAAUAGAACCUGAAACCGUGUGCUUACAAGUAGUCAGAGCCCGUUAAUGGGUGAUGGCGUGCCUUUUGUAGAAUGAACCGGCGAGUUACGAUUUGAUGCAAGGUUAAGCAGUAAAUGUGGAGCCGUAGCGAAAGCGAGUCUGAAUAGGGCGUUUAGUAUUUGGUCGUAGACCCGAAACCAGGUGAUCUACCCUUGGUCAGGUUGAAGUUCAGGUAACACUGAAUGGAGGACCGAACCGACUUACGUUGAAAAGUGAGCGGAUGAACUGAGGGUAGCGGAGAAAUUCCAAUCGAACCUGGAGAUAGCUGGUUCUCUCCGAAAUAGCUUUAGGGCUAGCCUCAAGUGAUGAUUAUUGGAGGUAGAGCACUGUUUGGACGAGGGGCCCCUCUCGGGUUACCGAAUUCAGACAAACUCCGAAUGCCAAUUAAUUUAACUUGGGAGUCAGAACAUGGGUGAUAAGGUCCGUGUUCGAAAGGGAAACAGCCCAGACCACCAGCUAAGGUCCCAAAAUAUAUGUUAAGUGGAAAAGGAUGUGGCGUUGCCCAGACAACUAGGAUGUUGGCUUAGAAGCAGCCAUCAUUUAAAGAGUGCGUAAUAGCUCACUAGUCGAGUGACACUGCGCCGAAAAUGUACCGGGGCUAAACAUAUUACCGAAGCUGUGGAUUGUCCUUUGGACAAUGGUAGGAGAGCGUUCUAAGGGCGUUGAAGCAUGAUCGUAAGGACAUGUGGAGCGCUUAGAAGUGAGAAUGCCGGUGUGAGUAGCGAAAGACGGGUGAGAAUCCCGUCCACCGAUUGACUAAGGUUUCCAGAGGAAGGCUCGUCCGCUCUGGGUUAGUCGGGUCCUAAGCUGAGGCCGACAGGCGUAGGCGAUGGAUAACAGGUUGAUAUUCCUGUACCACCUAU
rnacentral:rRNA from 1 species